GCUCAGUUGUUUAAACGUCUGACUUCAGCUCAGGUCAUGAUCUCAUGGUUUGUGGGUUCAAGCCCCACAUUGGGCU
rnacentral:tRNA from 1 species